CUCCUGGUCCUUUGGGUCCUCCAGGAGAGAAAGGUUCAACAGGGUAUCCGGGUCUUCCAGGAGGUCCUGGGGAUUUCGGCCCGCAAGGUUCACCAGGUCCACAAGGGCCGAGAGGAGCAGCAGGCAUUUCCGGGCCGAAAGGAAGAAGGG